UACGGGGGGAGCAAGGCGUUGUUCGGAUUUACUGGGCGUAAAGGGCGCGUAGGCGGUCAGCACAAGUCAGUUGUGAAAUCUCCGGGCUUAACUCGGAAAGGUCAACUGAUACUGUGCGACUAGAGUGCAGAAGGGGCAACUGGAAUUCUCGGUGUAGCGGUGAAAUGCGCGAUAUCAGGAGGAACACCAUGGCGGCAAAGGGCGG
rnacentral:rRNA from 1 species